GACGAACGCUGGCGGCGUGCCUAAUACAUGCAAGUAGGCCGCAGUUGCGAACGGGUGAGUAACGCGUAGGUAACUGCCUAUUAGAGGGGGAUAACUAUUGGAAACGCUAGCUAAUACCGCAUACUAGUAGAUGGACCUGCGUUGUAUUGGCUAGUAGGUAGGGUAAUGGCCUACCUAGCCAACGAUACAUAACCGACCUGAGAGGGUGAUGGGCCACACUGAGACUGAGACACGGCCCAGACUCCUACGGGAGGCAGCAGUAGGGAAUCUUCGGCAAUGGGGGGAACCCUGACCGAGCAACGCUGCGUGAGUGAAGAAGGUUUUCGGAUCGUAAAGCUCUGUGGUUAAGGAAGCGGUACUUAACGAGAAAGGGACGGCUAACUACGUGCCAGCAGCCGCGGUAAUUC
rnacentral:rRNA from 1 species